GGGGAUUGGAGGAGUUCGUAUACGGUAAGCAGUAAGAACGGUGCCUGAAACAUAGCGUGUACUGAAUCAGGGCUUGAUUGUUUUUAUUGCUAUGAUACGCAGGCAUCAGCCUUCAUUUAUUCCUUCUUUCACCCACUCAGUCUUCCCGCAAACAUUGGCCAUGUGUCAAUGAUGUCCAAGACCGCUGGAGAUACAGGAAGGAACGAGGGGAGGACAGAUGAGACUUAUCAAGGAAGAAGACGCAGGGCAAGGGAGCGGGAGGAUGCCGGGUUGCUGGCUUGCAUUCCUAGAAGGAUGGUGUUGCUGUUCGCUGAGACAGGAAACUAGGAAAGACACCUCCAGUUGCCACUUGCUGCUCAUCUUUCAGCACAUCCACCGUGUUUCUCUGUCACCGUAAUAUGCUGCUUAGAAUACCACAGACAUGCUGACUUUUUGUGAAAUAGCAGCCUCUCCGGAGAGUUUUCUUUCCCUCUUUUAAUUAUGCCAUUUUCCAGCUGGCCUUUUCCUUUUUGAAAGGUGAGCCUCAGAUUACUGAUUGUUCGACCACUAAUUUCACGUUUUGAUCACACUGAUCUGAUGGAGGCAGGAAGAGUCAUUAGAUGAUGGUGCAGCUCUACCCUCUUUCUUUGCAAAGGGAACAGCUGUGUCUCAGAGAGGUAGCUUGGCCCAUCUGAGAUCAUACAGCCAGUUAGUGGCCAAGCUGGGGCUGAAACUUGAACCAGUUAACGCUACAGUGGGGAGAUUUAAUAAUAGGAGAAAUAACAAUUCAUAUUUAUCACGUCGUUAAAGUUUACAAAGCAUAAACUUUAGUUCUCAAGUCUCUGGACCUUCUGUCCUCUACUGGCUCGUGUGCUUGGUCAUUUUAUCUAAGGAGAGAGGAUCCUCUUCUCUCAAAGGCAGGCAUCCACUCCAUCCACAUCUGGAAUUCCAAGUGCUCUCAUCCCGUAAGAAUCAAGUGCCGACAAUGACAUUUGAGGCUCAUCGAAGGGCAAUGAGCACUUAUUUGAGAGCCUCAUGUCAAUGCCAGAGUCGCCCCAGGGCUAACUCUGCAGCCCAGACUCCUCCAUAUCCCCAGACACCACC
rnacentral:lncRNA from 1 species